GCCUGACAGCUGCGGGGCCCGGGCGGGGCCCACCGCGGCCGGCGCUCGGCAGGCCCUUCGCUUCCAGGCUCGCCCUCUUGCGCCCGCGCGGCACACCCCGGGCCCAGCUGGCGGCGGAUUCGGUUAGCACCGACUGCGUGCCAGGCCCCGUCGUCGGAGCCGCGGUUGGCGUUCUCACUAUGGGCUAGACUCUGCUCCGCGUGCUCCAUAUGCCUUAGCUCAUUGAAGUUCCACGGCCUCUCCGGUAUCGUCCCCGUUUGACAUAGGAGGAGACUGAGGCGCAGGGAAGUGAGGGAGCUGUAGGAAGGCAGAUCAAAGUCCUCCAGCAGCCUAAGGGGGAAGCUCAGCUCCACCCUCAGAAGCUCUGCGGCCUUGGGCAUGUCCCUUAACCUGCCUGGUGCCUCACUGACCUCACGUACAAAAUUGGCCUAAUUGUAUGAUUGUCAUGAGCAUUAAAUGAUAUAAUGUUUGUAAAAUAUUUGGCAUAAUGUGGCAACAUGUUAAUUACUGAAUCUA